rnacentral:rRNA from 1 species
UAUUGGACAAUGGGCGAAAGCCUGAUCCAGCAAUACCGCGUGUGUGAGGAAGGCCUUAGGGUUGUAAAGCACUUUCAAUUGGGAGGAAAACCUACCGGUCAAUACCCGGUAGCUUGACAUUACCUUUAGAAGAAGCACCGGCUAACUCCGUGCCAGCAGCCGCGGUAAUACGGAGGGUGCGAGCGUUAAUCGGAAUUACUGGGCGUAAAGCGUGCGUAGGCGGUUCGUUAAGUCAGAUGUGAAAGCCCUGGGCUCAACCUGGGAACGGCAUUUGAAACUGGCGGACUAGAGUUUAGUAGAGGGGAGUGGAAUUUCAGGUGUAGCGGUGAAAUGCGUAAAUAUCUGAAGGAACACCAGUGGCGAAGGCGACUCCCUGGACUAGAACUGACGCUGAGUACGAAA